GAGAAGGAAUAAAUAAUGAAUACUCAAUUAACCAUUAAUUAUAAAUAAGGUUCAACAUCCCUUAGAACUGAAUAAAAAGAACUUAGCUCAUGUCUUCAAUCCUCCAAUGUUGUAGAUGAGAGAAUGUAGUAGAUGAUUGAAUGUAUAAAACCCUGACUAGCAUCCUCUAUUUAUAGUGCUAGACAAAGUCUUAAAUCAUAUAGGAAGUAGAAAUCCAAAUCCUAAAAGGAAUUACAAAUCAUAACUAGUUUCUAUAAAGAAAUAGAAUCCAAUUUGGAAGUAAAUCUUAGUCUAAAGAUAUCCUAAUUCUAAUAGAAAUAUCAAUCCAAUUCCAUGUAGAAAUCUGUCAAAAUAUACUUUUAGAAACUUUUC
rnacentral:lncRNA from 1 species